rnacentral:rRNA from 1 species
CAUAGGUUGCAAGCGUUAUCCGGAAUUAUUGGGCGUAAAGCGUCUGUAGGUUGUAUGUUAAGUCUGGCGUUAAAACUUGGGGCUCAACCCCAAAUUGCGUUGGAUACUGGCAUACUAGAAUUGUGUAGAGGUUAGCGGAAUUCCUAGUGAAGCGGUGAAAUGCGUAGAUAUUAGGAAGAACAUCAACAUGGCGAAGGCAGCUAACUGGGCACAUAUUGACACUGAGAGACGAAAGCGUGGGAGCAAACAGGAUU